UGAAGGUGUUGUUUCCAGGAUGCUCCCGUCAUUUGUGGGAAUGCUUGACGGAAGAACAAAGCACUUUGGCAGGUACAGACAGACAUUCACACCACUGGCAGUGGGCUGGAAUAAGAGGAAGUUCACCAACAUGGAUGUUGGCAAAAAGACAUGUGAAGAACGUCAGAAGACUGAAGGAGGAGACCAGCCUCCUUGAAGCAAAGCAGAGUUGGACAUCAAUGACACUGUGCUUCUGGAGUGGGUUGCUGGGGUGCUACAGUGGCCUGAAGACGAGAGGAGGACAAGAGAUGACGAGAGAACUGGAUGAGAACAAGCAGCCUUGACAGCUGCCAUCGUUCAACUUCACGAGCAGCAGACGGAGUUCAGGCUCCCAACAGUGGAGGAGCUGCUCAAUACUGACAACUGUGUGUGGCCAUGGGAGAGUCUUGGCACCAGUAAGAAACAUGAUUGCAGAAGGUAUCUAUUGUGAUUGAAUGUUUACCUUCAGCAUAGGAUACAAUGAUUGCUGUUGUUCUGUUAUAUACCUCUGUGAGUUUACAUCUCACAGGCAACAGCCAUCUGGGCUCCCGAGUGGAGCAGGGGUCUAAGACACUGCAUCUCAGUGCUAUGUGAGGGGGGCUCCAGAGUGGAGCAGGGGUCUAAGACACUGCAUCUCAGUGCUAUAUGGGGGGCUCCAGAGUGGAGCAGGGGUCUAAGACACUGCAUCUCAGUGCUAUGUGGGGGGCUCCAGAGUGGAGCAGGGGUCUAAGACACUGCAUCUCAGUGCUAUGUGGGGGCUCCAGAGUGGAGCAGGGGUCUAAGACACUGCAUCUCAGUGCUAUAUGGGGGCUCCAGAGUGGAGCAGGGGUCUAAGACACUGCAUCUCAGUGCUAGAUGUGUCGCUACAGACACCCUGGUUCAAGUCCAGUUGUAUCACAACUGGCCAUGAUUGGGAGGCCCAUAGGGUGGUGCACAACUGGCCAUGAUUGGGAGUCCCAUAGGGUGGUGCACAACUGGCCAUGAUUGGGAGUCCCAUAGGGUGGUGCACAACUGGCCAUGAUUGGGAGUCCCAUAGGGUGGUGCACAACUGGCCAUGAUUGGGAGUCCCAUAGGGUGGUGCACAACUGGCCAUAAUUGGGAGUCCCAUAGGGUGGUGCACAACUGGCCCAGCGUUGCCGGUGUAGGAUGCCAUUGUAAAUAAGAAUUUGUUCUUAACUUCGUUGCCCAGUUAAAUAGGUUACAUUGCCUUUUUGAUUUACAAAAAAAAUAAAAAAGAAUCUUCGACAGACUGAUGGUGAACAGACUGCAGGAGGAAGAGAAGGUCCUGGUGCAGGAGAGGAGGCACUAGGGGAGCCUACAAAGAGCAGUAGGAUCCCUGGAGGCACUGUCCCUACAGCUGCAAGAUCAGAGGAAGUUGAGGUUUAUACUAUUUUUGGACCGAACAUUUUGUCUUGCUUUACAAAUACCCUCCACACUAUUUUGUGUAAUGGAAUUGUAAAUAAUUUACUGCUUUAUAUGUGACUUUUAGGCAGUGGGCACAAAACCAAGUCAACAGCAGGAACAGCUACCACAAGCUGAUUCUGGGAGAAGGGGAUAUUUUUGACGACUGAUGAAGAUGAGCUCAGAUGAAGAUAGAUGUCCUAUUGCUGAGAGCUCAGACGAUGCCUGCUAUGUUUUCUGAAAUCAUACACCUCCCCUGCCACAGGAGAGGGAGAAGGCCACCUCCCCUGCCUCUUUCUCUCAUUCUCUGUCUCCCACAGGAGAGGGAGAAGGCCACCACCCUUGCCACUUUGUCUCGGUCUCUCUCUCCCACAGGAAAGGGAGAAAGCCACCACCCCUGCCUCUUUCUCUCGGUCUCUCUCCCGCAGAAGAGGGAAAAGGUCACCACCACCUCCCUUUUGAGAAGCCUGGUCUCCUGAUGUUGACCCCCUAACCCCUCACCUUCUGAACUCAUCCAGGUCAAUGUAAUUUGCCUGAUGACGUGCUAGUGGAGAAGGAAUGUGUCAUUUGAGCGCAUUUGUUCCCAUGUUUCCUCUCCUCUGUUUCUUCCGGUCCUAGACUACGGCGACAUCAUCAGCAACUCAGACAGUUGGUUGCGUACCUCUUUACUAAGGAAUGUGGUUGGUUUAUUUUCUUGGAGUAUUUACUAUGCUGCUGUGAUUUAGAUGUUUGCAAAAUAAUCCUUGGUCUCAAUGAGACUGCUAAAAUAAAUAAAUAAAGAUCUUAAUAAAUAAAUGCAUUAACUUCUUAUGGCUGUAGGGGCAGUAUUGAGUAGCUUCAAAUCAAAUCAAAUCAAAUCAAAUUUUAUUUGUCACAUACACAUGGUUAGCAGAUGUUAAUGCGAGUGUAGCGAAUUGCUUGUGCUUCUAGUUCCGACAAUGCAGUAAUAACCAACAAGUAAUCUAACUAACAAUUCCAAAACUACUGUCUUAUACACAGUGUAAGGGGAUAAAGAAUAUGUACAUAAGGAUAUAUGAAUGAGUGAUGGUACAGAGCAGCAUAGGCAAGAUACAGUAGAUGAUAUCGAGUACAGUAUAUACAUAUGAGAUAAGUAUGUAAACCAAGUGGCAUAGUUAAAGUGGCUAGUG
ensembl:lncRNA